rnacentral:tRNA from 1 species
ACCUGGCUGGCUCAGUUGGUAGAGCACACGACUCCGGCUCUUGGGGUUGUGAGUUCGAGCCCCACGUCGGGGG